GUCCAGCUGAUGAGUCCCAACUAGGAUGACAUGCGUGUCCUGGAU
rnacentral:hammerhead_ribozyme from 1 species